rnacentral:misc_RNA from 1 species
GUGAAUCAUCAAAUUUUUGAACGCAAAUUGCACUCUCUGGUAUUCCGGAGAGUAUGCCUGUUUGAGUGUCAGUUUAAUUUAAAAUCGGUGUGGUGGCUGCCUUUCGUGGUGACGCACCGGAUUUGGGUCUUCUUGCCUUCGGUUAAGUGACCUAAAAUUUGGAAUGAUUUUUUCUAACGCUUUUAAAUGAUUUUAUGUACGUUUGCGAUAUCUAACUCUAGAUUUGUUCAUCUUCAUGAUUC